GACGAACGCUGGCGGCGUGCUUAACACAUGCAAGUCGAACGGAAAGGCCCUGCUUUUGUGGGGUGCUCGAGUGGCGAACGGGUGAGUAACACGUGAGUAACCUGCCCUUGACUUUGGGAUAACUUCAGGAAACUGGGGCUAAUACCGGAUAGAAGCUCCUGCUGCAUGGUGGGGGCUGGAAAGUUUCGGCGGUUGGGGAUGGACUCGCGGCUUAUCAGCUUGUUGGUGGGGUAGUGGCUUACCAAGGCUUUGACGGGUAGCCGGCCUGAGAGGGUGACCGGCCACAUUGGGACUGAGAUACGGCCCAGACUCCUACGGGAGGCAGCAGUGGGGAAUAUUGCACAAUGGGCGGAAGCCUGAUGCAGCAACGCCGCGUGCGGGAUGACGGCCUUCGGGUUGUAAACCGCUUUCGCCUGUGACGAAGCGUGAGUGACGGUAAUGGGUAAAGAAGCACCGGCUAACUACGUG
rnacentral:rRNA from 1 species